rnacentral:rRNA from 1 species
UACGUAGGGUGCAAGCGUUGUCCGGAAUCAUUGGGCGUAAAGCGCGCGUAGGUGGUCCUGUAAGUCCGCUGUGAAAGUCAAAGGCUCAACCUUUGAAAGCCGGUGGAUACUGCGGGGACUAGAGUACGGAAGAGGCGAGUGGAAUUCCUGGUGUAGCGGUGGAAUGCGCAGAUAUCAGGAGGAACACCAAUAGCGAAGGCAGCUCGCUGGGACGUUACUGACACUGAGGCGCGAAAGCGUGGGGAGCGAACAGG